rnacentral:rRNA from 1 species
AAUGAACGCUGGCGGCGUGCUUAACACAUGCAAGUCGUGCGCGAAAGCGGCUUCGGCCGCGUGUAGAGCGGCGAACGGGUGAGUAACACGUGGACAACCUGCCCAAGAGUGGGGAUAACCUGGGGAAACUCGGGCUAAUACCGCAUACGUUCGUGGGGUUUCGGCCCUGCGCAGAAAGGUGGCCUAUGCUUGCAAGCCACCGCUCCUGGAGGGGUCCGCGUCUGAUUAGCUAGUUGGCGGGGUAACGGCCCACCAAGGCGACGAUCAGUAGCCGGCCUGAGAGGGUGAUCGGCCACACUGGAACUGAGACACGGUCCAGACUCCUACGGGAGGCAGCAGUGGGGAAUAUUGGACAAUGGGGGAAACCCUGGAUCCAGCAACGCCGCGUGGAGGAUGAAGGUCUUCGGAUU